GAGUAUCAAUUGCUCUGAGGUUGCCAAAGUUCUCCUAUCUGGUAAGACUGAAAGGAGAAAGGAGGAAGACAGAAUCUUCAAAAUGUUUAAAGGCUUGCUGAAAACAGGUAGGUAAGUCUCCAUGUCAGUCUCUAUUGGAUACGUAUUAAUAUGCUGAAGUUAGAUUUAAGUAAACCUACCAAUUUGAAAGCUUGUAGUAUAGUAAUUUGAAAAGAUAUCAGUUCAGAAGACUUGUAGAGGGAGCUCUUAAAAUUGUUUAGGUUGUCAGGAGUUGUAGGGCUGAAAAUGUUCCUCCCCUGAGGCAGAGGAAUGGACCAAUAGGUCCUUCUAGGCCUAUUUUGGAUAUUUUCCCGUAGUUAUUGCUCAGAUGACCAGUAACCCUGGCUGCACCUGCCAUGCAAAGCUCCAGUGUGUUUCAGUUGCAUUUCCAUUCCCCCAGUCUCCAAGUUAGCUUGGAGUAAUUGUAAUCCUGAAGACACCAAAAAUCUUGAAAUACAAGUGACAGCAAAAUUGGGGUAAGUUCAAUUAAAAGAAAAAUGCAAGAAAUCUUCCCUGGCCAAAAGGACAUGGGGAGUUCACUUGGGUUGUGGUCAGCUGCUGCCUGACCCUCAUGCCCACGAGUGUGCCUCUGUUUGCUCUGAACACUUUGAUUUUGUGCGCUUCAGUGCAGAGGUGGGGAGUCAGGGCUCAGGAGCUGUCUGUCACUGUUUUUUCAGAGCCCAGUGCACGGGAACUAAACCUGCAAUGGCCCCAACCUGAUCCUGAGGAUCAGGCACAAAUCCAGGGUCACAACGGUGCCUCACCACCAGUGUUUGCUUCCUUCUUGAAUCCAUACAGCGAGUCAGCCCUGGCUAGAUCUUUUUAAUUCAAUGUAAACUGGAAUGAAGAGUUUUGCCCUGAGUCAUGUGGACCUCAUGCAUCCUCAGGUAAUGCCCUGAUCGUAAAACUAUUUGUGAAUCCCUUCCUGCAGUUAGAAAGCUCAAAGUCAUGGUUUUGUGUAUUUUUAUUUGUUUGUUUUUGUCUUGAAAUAUUAUAAAUGUCCUGCUUUUAUUCCAAAGCAAAAUGAAAAUGACUUUUUGGAACUUCUCAAGUUGUUACAAAACAAAACUGUCAGGUUUUUUCCUUCGGGUCUGUAGCUGAAGAGCUGCCUUGAUCCUCCUUUGUACAUUUCAGUUUAUAUUUGUAUCUGGAACAUUCAAAAAAGCAUCAUAAGUUAUAAAUUUUGACUAUAAUGGCAAAUUUAUGUAGCAAAUAAUGCAAACUGAGACUUUAAACCAAUGCCUUCCCUCAUGCUUCAUAGUAUCAAUUACCAAAUAAAAUGUAUGUCCCAGUAUGAUCUUAGCA
rnacentral:lncRNA from 1 species